rnacentral:lncRNA from 1 species
GAUCUUUAAUCUUGUAAUUAAUGAUGAUACUUGGUUUAUUUUAAGAUGUGAUCUCUUUAUGCAUGCUAGUUAGAUUAGAUCUAAUUAUUGAUCUGAAUCUUUAAAUCAUUCUAAUAUAAGGUUGUCCUAACAUAAUGGUUAAAAGUUAUGCUAAAUGAUUGUCCUAGAAUGAUAUUGAGAAUUCAGAUCAAAAAUUUUUAUUUCACUGUGAUCUCUGUUAGAUUAAUUUUUUGAAAUUUCUGCAUGCAUACCUAUUAUUAUGUGAUGUCGAUAUUCAAUAGUGGUAUCAGAGCCAUCUAAUUAAUGCAUGGUUG